rnacentral:rRNA from 1 species
GAUGAACGCUAGCGGCAGGCUUAACACAUGCAAGUCGAGGGGCAGCGCGGGAUAGCAAUAUCCUGGCGGCGACCGGCGGAAGGGUGCGUAACGCGUGAGCGACAUGCCCGUUGCCCGGGGACAACCGGUGGAAACGCCGACUAAUCCCCGAUGGGAUAUUGUGCCGCAUGGCACGAUAUUGAAAGUUACGGCGGCGACGGAUUGGCUCGCGUCCGAUUCGCUUGUUGGCGGGGUAACGGCCCCCCAAGGCUGCGAUCGGUCGGGGUUCUGAGGGGAAGGCCCCCCACAAUGGGACUGAGACACGGCCCAUACGCCUACGGGAGGCAGCAGUGAGGAAUAGUGGUCAAUGGGCGGAAGCCUGAACCGGCCAUGCCGCGUGCGGGAAGGAGGCCCUAUGGGCUGUGAACCGCUUUUGCCUGGGGGCAAUAAGGGCGUCGCGCACGUCCGAUGAGAGUACCAGGCGAAUAAGCAUCGGCUAACUCCGUG